ACUUACAAUCUUCAGACAGGCGCAAUCCUGACACAGGUGGAGCCAGGUGCGAUGGUUUGCAUUCUCUGUGCAGUCUGCUCUUUGCAUGGACUGGCAGGGUGCAAUAUUUUGCGCAGAGUCAGACCAUUAAGCUGUUAAAAUGUUGCAAGGGCUACGCCCAGGAAAGAUCCGUUGCAGUCAGGAAUCAGCAGCCGGUAUUUUUUGUCAGCAUAUCAAAUGUCACAGUUUGUGAUGCUGCCCGACCUGCUGAAUAUUUUCAGCAUUUUCUGUUUUACUCGUCUUGGCCAGGGUUGCUCCCCCCCAGCCUGCACAUGCAGCCAUCUCCAAGGCUCCACCCAGCAAAUAGGAUUCACCGGCUGCUCAGACUCAUCCAUUUAUCAACAGUUCAAGGGUAGGAAGGUUCAUUUUAUUAUCCAAGUAAGUAUACAGGAUACAACUCUGAGAUUUGCCUUCUCCAGGAAGCCAUAGAACACAGAAAACCAUAUAAGCAGUUGAAAGAAAGACAUAACCCCUCCCACACGAAAAGAAAAAGAAACAGGAACUCCGCAAACCCCCAAAGCACCCCCCCAAGAGAUCACCCAACCCCCAUCCCGUCAAUCAACAACAAGAAAGAAUGGGCGAGAGCACAGAAAGAAAGAUAGAAUUGCAAGAGGCCAAUAUGAACUACAGUCCAGUUCAUAUAUCUCAAUUUUGAUUUGAUAAUACCUCCAAGAGCUUCAGGACUCCAAGUAGAACCAGUAACCUCUCCUUUGUCUCUUUCGCCUUAAAGAAACCAACCUCAGCCAAAAAGGUGGCAUUCCUGCAGCCCCGGCAACAUCUUUGUGAAUCUCCCAGCAGUCUCUCUGCCGUUGCCACGUCCUUUAUGUCCAGCCACAAAGAAAGGACAGAAUUCCAGUCUACCCUGAUUCCAUUAUUCAGUGUGAACUGCCUAUAGCAGCUAACGGAAUGCUGGCAGGAGCCACCUAACUCCUUAUUCUGGCCUUCCUUUUCAGACUGGAUGAAGGGGCUUGGCCUGAAACGUCAGAUGCUUAUUUCUCUCCAUAGACGUUCUCAGACUCUCCAGCAUUCUGUGUGUAUGUGUGUGUGUGUGUGUGUGUGUGUGUGUGUGUGUGUGUGUGUGUGUGUGUGUGUGUGUGUGUGUGUGUGUAUGUGUGUGUGUGUGUGUGUGUGUGUGUUUGUCUAGAUGACCAGCAUCUGCAGACUCUUUUGUAAUCUUGCUUUUGUAUCCAAAGACUGGGAAGAAAACCAGUCUUGUAGGAAACACUGGUCGAGGGCUGGUAUGAACAUCACCAUUUCGAUAUGAGCAAUUCACUUCUAAUAUUCUUAACAUUCUUAUUUAUUUUUAUCUAUUAAGAGAUACUGUAUGGUACAGGCCCUUCCGGCCCAAUGAACUCGUGCCUCCCGAUUACACCCUUGUGACCCAUUGACCUACUAAUCAGGCCAUCUUUGGAUUGUUGCAGGAAAUCGCAGCAUCUGGAGGAAAACCACGCGGUUAUGCGGAGAAUGGACAAACUCCCUGUAGACAACGGCAGAAAUGAACCCGGGUCACUGGUGCUGUAGUAUUAUUACACAAACCCCGACAUUACCUUGCCACCCAGAACUUCUGAAUGAGAAUAUAACUUCAAAUCAGGACAAAUUUGUUGUUAUUUAACUAUAUUCAUGUACACCGCCAAAUAAAACAGUGUUUCUCCAGACCAGGUGUAAAGCACAGUAGACCAUAAAACCAGAAGAUAUAGAAGCAGAAUUAGGCCAUCUGGCCCAUUGAGUCUGCUCCGCCAUUCAAUCAUGUCUCCUCCUCAACCCCAGUUCCUCGCCUUCUCCCUGUAACCUUUGAUGCCAUGUCCAAUCGAUCUCUGCUUUAAAUACGCCCAACCACCUGGCCUCCACAGCUGCAUGUGGCAACAAAUUCCACAAAUUCACCACCCCUUGGCUGAAGAAAUUUCUCCGCAUCUCUGUUUUGAAAGGGCGCCCCUCUAUCCUGAGGCUGUCCGCUUUUGUCUUAGACUCUCCCCUAUGGGAAACAUCCUUUCCACAUCUACGCUGUCUAGACCUUUCAACAUUCAAAUAGUUUCAAUGAGGUUCCCCCCCACAUCCUUCUGAAUUCCAGAGAGUACAGACCCAGAGCCAUCAAAAGUUCCUCAUAUGAUAACCCUUUCGUUCCUGGAAUCAUCCUUGUGAACCUCCUCUGGACCGUCUCCAAUGCCAACACAUCUUUUCUAAGAUGAGGAGCCCAAAACUGUUCACAAUACUCAAAGUGAGGCCUUAUAAACCUUCAGCAUCACAUCCCUCUCUUAUAUUCUAGACUUCUUGAAAUGGAUGCUAACAUUGCUUUUGCCUUCUUCACCACCAACUUAACCUGCAGGUUAACCUCUAGGUUGUUCUGCACAAAGACUCCCAAGUCCCUUUCCAUCUCAGGUUUUUGGAUUUUUUCCCCGAUUAGAAAAUAGCCUGCACAUUUAUUUCUACUACCAAAGUGGAAAAAGCCAGGGGGUGGUGAAUCUCCGGAACUGAUUGGCACAGGUGGUUGUGGAGGUCAAAUCAUUGGUUCUAUUUUAAGUUGAUAGAUUCUUAACCAGUCAGGGUGUCAAAGGUCUUGGGAAGAGGGCAGAAGAGUGAGGUUGAGAGAGAAAAUAAAUCUGCCAUGAUCAAAUGAGUAGUCACCUCAGUGGGUGGAAUGGCCUAAUUCUGCUCCCAUGUUUUGUCUUUUUUACUUGAACCAUAUUUCUAGGAAUAAUGGUACAUAGUUCCCUGAAGGUGGAAUCUCAUGUGGAUAGGGUGGUGAAGAAAGAUUUUGGCACGCUGGCCUUUAUAAAUCAGAGCAUUGAGUAUAGGAGUUGGGAUGUAAUGUUAAAAUUGUACAAGGCAUUGGUGAGGCCAAACUUGGAGUAUCGUGUACAGUUCUGGUCACUGAAUUAUAGGAAAGAUGUCACCAAAAUAGAGAGAGCACCGAGGAGAUUUACUAGAAUGUUACCUGGGUUUCAGCACUUAAGUUACAGAGAAAGGUUGAGCAAGUUAGGUCUUUAUUUUUUGGAGUGUAGAAGAUUGAGGGGGGACUUGAUAGAGGUUAUUUAAAAUUAUGAGAGGGAUAGAUAGAGUUGAUGUGGGUAGGCUUUUUUCCAUUGAGAGUAGGGAGAUUCAAACAAGAGGACAUGAGUUGAGAGUUAAGGGGUAAAAGUUUAGGGGUAACACGAGGGGGAACUUCUUUACUCAGAGAGUGGUAGCUGUGUGGAACGAGCUUCCAGUAGAAGUGGUAGAGGCAGGUUUGAUGUUGCCAUUUAAAAAAAAAUGGAUAGGUAUAUGGACAGGAAAGGAAUGGAGGGUUAUGGGCUGGGUGUGGGUCAGUGGGACUAGUUGAGUGUGAGCAUCGGCACAGACUAGAAGGGCCGAGAUGGCCUGUUUCCAUGCUGUAGUUGUUAUAUGGUUAUAUGGAAAUUUGGAUAACUUACUUUGGGGUCUGGUCAGUUGGCCUGGAUAUGUACUCCUGCUGCCCCCAUCUGUUCCGAACUUAUUUCUUCCAUUGUUUAAGAACUCUGCUCUCUGCCCCUGUGGUGUCUCACAGGAACAGAGGAGGAGGAUUUCUAUUAAUUCCCUGAUUUCUUUUUUGCAGAACGUUGACACGCCUGGCUUCUUAGCAAUCGCUUUGUCCUCCAAAACCUGCCAAAGAGCAAGGUGAAAAGCCAAGAGCACUCUGCAGGGAACGGGCGACAAAUGAGGCAGAAGCUACCGCAGGAGGAACAGCGACACAUUGCUGUGGAGAGGUUUCAGUGGCCAAGUAGGAUAGAUUGUGUAGAAAUGUACUAAAUCAUUGCGUGGUCGUCCUUGAAGAUUCCCUGAACAGCCAUCUAUUGCCUGCAGGUACAUUGUUCUGCAAAGCUUCCUCUAAUGAACAACUGAGCAGCAGCAGUCUCCUGCUAAUAUCGAGUGCUAUAACCAGCAUGUCCUUUGAUUUCCUCCCACCAAGACGGUGCUUCCCAGAGCCCGGCCUGGCUGCCUUAUUAUGUGACGUGCCAUCUGUCCCAAACCUGUUACUAGGCUGUGUUAUCAUUUACACUAAAUGAACCAGUAAAUUAGAUCAUUAUUGAUCCGUACAGGCGGAAGAAAAAAAGUGUUCGUCUCUGCUUUACAAUCCUCUGGUGAGUGUUUAGGUCUGAGAACAUAAACAUUUUUACCCGAGAAUUUUCGCCUCUUUUGUCUGAUCAUUCUUGUAUGCCGCUGGGCACCAGCCUAUCGAUUCGGCGGAAUUUCCCCGCAGACGGCCCUGAAUUACAUUGGAGUGUGUUCUGUAUUUACCCCUAAUGUAAUCAGAAAUUCAGUGCUCGAAAUUGCAUUCACCCUCUGGAAAAAAAUAUCAAUUUAUAUAACCAUAAAUAGGUGAUUGAGAACGAGAGGGAGAGCAAGAAGAAACUGUGUUACCACCACCUUCAUUUUCAGGCCUCUUCUCCCUUCCUUUCCAAUCCUGAUGAUGGGUCUUGCCCCAAGAUGGCGACUGCUUAUUCCCCUCCAUAGACGCUGCCAGACCUGUGGAGAUCCCCCAGCAUUUUGUAAGCGCUGCGUAAGAUUUCCAGCAUCCACAGAAUCUUUUGUGUUCCCGUAAACCCAACCUACUACGGCCUGUUACUCCGUGGGUGCUUUGGGCAGCAGUGAAGGUCCUCCAUCUCUGCCUGAACUUGGCCGUCUUCUCUAUUGGGCCCCAGGUGUGGUUCAGGGUCCUCAUUCCUGCCUCUAUGGGAUGGCGCCAAGUCAUCUUCAGUCUCCUGCACCCUUCAUGGUUGCAGUGAAGUUCUGUCUUGUUGAUCGAGUUGGCCAUCACAUGCCCAACAUUUCCUCAUGAUGAUUGUGGCCACGACCUCUUGGUGACACUGAAGGAGCAUGGUGUGGUUGGAGAUCUUUCCUGGCUAGAAGAUUUGGAGGAUCUUCCGGAGGGUCAUAGUGUGGAAUGACGACAGCUUGUCGAGGUCCUUCCCUCUCAUGAGCCGGUGUUCUGACCCGCACAAGACAGAACACAGCUCUGGUACAGCUUCACCUUGGAGUAGACCUUACUUGGUUAAUCUCCAUAUGUUGCCCAUUGAUCUGAAGUCAUCCCUAACUUUAUUGAGUCUGCACUGGUUGUCGUCCUUGCUCCCACCAUCCUGUCGAAUGAUGCUGCCCGGGUAGGUGAAUCUGCCGGUGCUGGGUAGGUGGAUGCCUCGUGCCUUGAGGGGAGGAAGAUUCUCUACAUUGAGGGUCAUGGUCUUAGUCUAUCUCUGGCUGACAACCCAUCCACCAAAGGAAAACAGGUACUGAGUUUCCUCUUGCAUUGGGUGGUGUGGUAUGUGAUAGUAAUGUGAGUUGACCCACAAAGUCAAGCUCUUCUAAAGUAGAGAACUUACUCCAACUAAUGCCUCUCUGCUUCUCUUUCACUGUUUGCCUCAUAACCCAGCCAGUCACCAGAUUAAAUAAGAUCGCUGACGUCACACAGCCUUGCCUGACUUCAAAGCUCAAAUUGCAGAUGAAAUUAGCAUAGAAAGUUUGGAUGAGCUGGACAAGAUUGGAAGGGAUCCGAGAAAUUGCCAGAGGCUCUCCCUAUGAUUCACACACCGUGUAAACAUUUUAAAUAGUAAACACCAGCUUUAUUUGUCACAUGCACAUUGAAUCAUUGAAACAAACAGUUAAAUUUUUACUGUGCCCGUGGUCUGUUUUUUUUAAUCAAUUAUGGUAUUGCUUGCACUGCUGUAAUUAUAUGUUGUAACUAUGUGGUUUUGUGUAGGUCUUGUAGCUUUAGUUUUUGGUUUGUUGGGUGGUGAAGUUGGUCUCCUGACUUGGUGUGUCUGGGUACUCUUGUUUUGUCUGGUGGGAUUGGAGCUCCUUUCCCAGAACACGCUAAGACAGUAGCACGAUAUUAAUACGCAGCAGCCUCUCCGGACUCUGGAUUUGGGGAUUGCCAAAUGUUAUGCGGAUUUUCUGGUGUAGUCUGUUUCGUCGUGUGCUUUUGUGAUAUCAUUCUGGAGGAACGUUGUUUCAUUUUUUAACUGCAUUGUUGUUGUGGUUUCUAAAUGACAAUAAACCGAAAUUCAAUUCAA